GCAAGGCACAGUCUGUACCCUCUUUAUCACUGAGGUCAGCAAUGGGUUUAAAAAUAGCACUGCUCACAUGUCCAGGGUACCACUGAUUCAUUAAUGGCCAAACAAACACUAUUCUGGAUUCCUGACUUAUAUGGGAUUUGGGACUGAGACGCCUAGACGUGUGCCACAGCAUCUGUGACUCCCCUAGCAGGCGGGUUACGCUGCACUAUUUCAUAAAUAGAGAUCUGCAGAUCCUAAAAGAAUCCCCAACAAUUACAAACCAGGAGGAACUGCCACGCUGUUUCCCAGAGUGGCCUCUGAAGUCCCCAAGAGCCAUGCCAGACAGCGGUCUCGGGAAAGCCCACAGCAGGCAGUUCCGCAGACACGGCUGCCCUUCUGUCAUCCUGUGAAACUGCAGUCGCCAUUCAAAGCAGGAGCCGGGGUUUGUUUGAUUCGAGGCUGGUGGUAAACAAAUGUCCGAGCUUCACAUUAGACAGAUAUGCAAGUCCACUGUCACGCAGCUUGUCUCUGUCUCCUUCCUGUUUCUCUACAUGUGUGGACCUGCCGGUACCUGGCUGCCACCUUCUUGAUUUCGCAGAAAAGCCCACUCUACCCUCAGAAAGUAUGUCAUCUACUUGGAAGGGUGAAAUAAAUCAGAAAAUUGUCCACUGUUAGA